rnacentral:rRNA from 1 species
UAGAGUUUGAUCAUGGCUCAGGAUGAACGCUAGCGACAGGCUUAACACAUGCAAGUCGAGGGGCAGCGGGGAGGUAGCAAUACUUCCGCCGGCGACCGGCGCACGGGUGAGUAGCACGUAUGGAACCUGCCCGUAGCAGGGGGAUAAGCGGAAGAAAUUCCGUCUAAUACCGCGUAAUAACUCCGAGAGGCAUCUCAUGGGGUUUAAAGGGUGACACCGGCUACGGAUGGCCAUGCGGCGCAUUAGCUAGUUGGCGGGGUAACGGCCCACCAAGGCGACGAUGCGUAGGGGUUCUGAGAGGAAGGUCCCCCACACUGGUACUGAGACACGGACCAGACUCCUACGGGAGGCAGCAGUGAGGAAUAUUGGUCAAUGGGCGCGAGCCUGAACCAGCCAAGUCGCGUGAGGGAAGACGGUCCUAUGGAUUGUAAACCUCUUUUGUCGGGGAGCAAAAGACGCCACGUGUGGCGUUCCGAGAGUACCCGAAGAAAAAGCAUCGGCUAACUCCGUGCCAGCAGCCGCGGUAAUACGGAGGAUGCGAGCGUUAUCCGGAUUUAUUGGGUUUAAAGGGUGCGCAGGCGGAAGAUCAAGUCAGCGGUAAAAUUGAGAGGCUCAACCUCUUCGAGCCGUUGAAACUGGUUUUCUUGAGUGAGCGAGAAGUAUGCGGAAUGCGUGGUGUAGCGGUGAAAUGCAUAGAUAUCACGCAGAACUCCGAUUGCGAAGGCAGCAUACCGGCGCUCAACUGACGCUCAUGCA